rnacentral:lncRNA from 1 species
GAGUUUAUACUCCUCAUUCCUACUAUCAAUCUCAUCAAAAUAAGGUUUUAAUCGGGUGUUGUUUACCUUAAAAGUGUCAAACCUGGGAUGACUCACCUCUACCGUACCGAAUGGAAAAAUACUGAGUACCGUAAGAGGGAUUUCCUCAUUCGGUGUGGUACUGACAAUGUGGGGAUCUGUGGCAUCUAAUAAGACCUUAUCACCAACCUUAAGUUGAUUUGGGGAGGUAUCGGGCUCGUUUUGGCAUAGUUUCGGUCUGUCGGGUGUUCUUGGUUUGUGCGUUUGCCAUUCAUCAAGUUCCUCAAUUUGUAAUCUUCGAUCUACAUGAACAGGUC